rnacentral:rRNA from 1 species
UCGUAAACUUAAAUAGUCCUAGAACAAGACUAUUCGCCAGAGUACUAUCGGCAACAGCCCAAAACUCAAAGGACUUGGCGGUGCUUCAUAUCCUUCUAGAGGAGCCUGUUCUGUAAACGAUAAACCACGAUUAACCUCACCAAUCCUUGCUACUUCAGUCUAUAUACCGCCAUCUUCAGCAAACCCUAAAAAAGGAAUGAAAGUAAGCACAACAUUGCACGUAAAAACGUUAGGUCAAGGUGUAACCUAUGGAUUGGGAAGAAAUGGGCUACAUUUUCUACAAUAAGAACACCCCUAAACUUAACGAAAGUUUUUAUGAAAUCUAAAAACUAAAGGAGGAUUUAGCAGUAAAUUAAGAAUAGAAUGCUUAAUUGAAUAAGGCCA